CCGGAUUCAGUCGGCUCCAUCCAGAGAAAACAGAAGCGAACUUGCAGACCAAUCCGGCGUCGACCCACCAAGCCGCGUUUUCUCCCCGCUUUGUCCACCCCAGAAUUCUUCAAAUUGGCCUGAAUCGUCGGUUCCUCCCACAAAUUGAUCCCUCCAUCAGCAUCCUCACGGCAUUGCAACCCUGGUUAUGCCCUUCCUUCCCUCGAGUUCCUGCGGAACCUUUGUUUCACCUAGCGGGCAUUUCGUCGAACAUGUGUCGAGGAACUCGCUGCCCGAGUUGGGAGGUGCAUGGGUGCGGAGAUGGAGGAGAAAUGGUGGCCAAUUGACUCAUGGAUAUGAAGGGAGGGAAAGAGAGUGUGGGGGACUCCGGGCAGAGGCCGGAUGCCUGGUGCCGGCGAGCGCAAAUCGGGCGACGAGACGGCAGCGCCGGAACCAGUGACCAAGUCGAGCCGGGAGUAGAAGUUCAGUAUUAUCGAUGUAUCUCACUCGUGGGUACAGUGAGUGCAGCAGUUUUUGUUUGGAACUUCAGAUGAACUUCAGUUUUUUGUUUUUGUGCUGGGCUAAACAAAAACUUCGGCUGCAUUAAUCGGCAAGGUUUCUUCAAUCUGGUCUGUACUAAAACUGUAUAUUGGGCUACAAGCAGUAAUUCAGUUCUUGAGGCUAGGCCAGGAAAAAGUAACGGUGAGUUGGUAGCAUUUUUCGGUCUACAUGUCUUGCUGUUAUAUUUUGUUAUAUUCUUCUGAUGCUGAUGCUUUCUGUUAUAUUUCCUUUUUCUCUAAUAAACUUGCUGUUAUAUAUAGUUAUAUUCUUCUGAACCAAA